UACUCUCACACUUCUGAUCCUUUGGAUUGGGAGCGGUGGACUUGGGUGCUGCUGCUUUGCUGUGGCUCACCUCAAAUGCAUUAGUGCAACUCUUGGUUGGACAUAGUACGGCGUGAUAAGUGUCUUCGCCGGCACCUCGCAAGAGGGUGGCUGAUCAGGAGCUCUGUGCUUCCAACUGUCUUCAGACAAUGACUGACA
rnacentral:misc_RNA from 1 species